rnacentral:sRNA from 1 species
GUGAAGAUUACGGGCCUUGACGAGGGCG